AUGAGCUGGGUUCAGAACGUCGUGAGACAGUUCGGUCUGUAUCCGCUGUGGGCGUUGGAGAGUUGAGGGGUGCGGACUCUAGUACGAGAGGACCGAGUCGGACGAUCCGCUCGUGUCCCGGCUGUCACGCCAGUGGCACCGCCGGGUAGCGAUGAUCGGCACGGAUAACCGCUGAAAGCAUCUAAGUGGGAAGCCGUCCCCAAGAUGAACUCUCCCUGGGACCUUGAGUCCCCUGAAGGGCCGUGGGAGACCACCACGUCGAUAGGUGGGGAGUGGAAAGGCAGCAAUGCCCUCCGAGCUAACCCAUCCUAAUCGCCCGUGCGGCUUGACUAC
rnacentral:rRNA from 1 species